AAUGGGCGCAAGCCUGAUCCAGCGAUGCCGCGUGUGUGAAGAAGGCCUGCGGGUUGUAAAGCACUUUCAGUAGAGAAGAAAUGUUAGAACUGUUGACGUUAUCUACAGAAGAAGCACCGGCUAACUCUGUGCCAGCAGCCGCGGUAAUACAGAAGGUGCAAGCGUUAAUCGGACUAACUGGGCGUAAAGGGCGUGUAGGUGGUUAAUUCAGUCAGAUGCGAAAGCCCCGGGCUUAACCUGGGAACGGCAUCUGAAACGGGUUGACUUGAGUGAGGAAGAGGGAAGUGGAAUUUCCGGUGUAGCGGUGAAAUGCGUAGAUAUCGGAAGGAACACCAGUGGCGAAGGCGACUUCCUGGUCCGACACUGACACUGAGGCGCGAAAGCGUGGGUAGCGAACAGGAUU
rnacentral:rRNA from 1 species